UACGUAGGUGACCAGCGUUGUCCGGAUUUACUGGGCGUAAAGAGCGCGCAGGCGGUCGUUCAAGUCGAGUGUGAAAGCCCCUGGCUCAACUGGGGAGGGUCACUCGAUACUGAUCGACUUGAAGGCAGGAGAGGGAAGCGGAAUUCCCGGUGUAGUGGUGAAAUGCGCAGAUAUCGGGAAGAACACCCGUGGCGAAGGCGGCUCUCUGGGACGGUACUGACGCUGAGACGCGAAAGCGUGGGGAGCGAACAGG
rnacentral:rRNA from 1 species